rnacentral:misc_RNA from 1 species
CAUUCAUAGUCAAGUGUUUUUAUGGCACUUUAAAAAAUCCAUAUCCACCUUGUGUGCAAUGUCAUCUCACUGGAAGGUCACGGCUGUAAAAAGCCGGCGGCCAACCUUUGGGAUUUAUAUCUACUCAGAACUUUAGUGAUUUUGUCUGAAACAUAUUAUGAAUAACUUAAUUCAAAAUACAACUUUCAACAACGGAUCUCUUGGCUCUCGCAUCGAUGAAGAACGCAGCGAAAUGCGAUACGUAAUGUGAAUUGCAGAAUUCAGUGAAUCAUCGAAUCUUUGAACGCAUAUUGCGCUCUCUGGUAUUCCGGAGAGCAUGCUUGUUUGAGUAUCAGUAAACACCUCAACUCCUUUUUCUUUUUUGAAAUUGGAGCUGGACUUGAGUGAUCCCAACGCUUUCUUCCAAGGAAGUGGCGGGUUGCUUGAAAUGCAGGUGCAGCUGAACUUUUCUCUGAGCUAUAAGCAUAUCUAUUUAGUCUGCCUAAAAAACAGAUUAUUACCUUUUGCUGCAGCUAACAUAAAGGAGACUAGUUCUUGUGCUGACUGAUGCAGGAUUCACAGAAGACAGCUUCCGGCUGACUUUUGUAAACUCCGAUCUCCAAAUCAAGUAAAGACUACCCCGCGGAACUUUAAGCAUAAUCAAUUAAGCGGAAGGAAAAGGGCGAAAUUCCGUUUAAAACCUGGCAGGGACUAAGUCCCCUUUUAAGUGGAGGGGUUAAAUUCCUGAAGCUUUGGCCGUAAUCCA